UACGUAGGGGGCAAGCGUUGUCCGGAUUCAUUGGGCGUAAAGAGCGUGUAGGCGGCCAGGUAGGUCGGUUGUGAAAACUGGAGGCUCAACCUUCAGAGGUCGACCGAAACCAUCUGGCUAGAGUCCGGGAGAGGAGAGUGGAAUUCCUGGUGUAGCGGCGAAAUGCGCAGAUAUCAGGAAGAACACCCGUGGCGAAGGCGGCUCACUGGCUCGUAACUGACGCUCAUGCACGACAGCGUGGGGAUCAAACAGG
rnacentral:rRNA from 1 species